AAUCAACGCUGGCGGCGUGCCUCAGACAUGCAAGUCGAACGAUUAAGACUCUCUUCGGAGAGUGCAUAAAGUGGCGCACGGGUCGAGUAACGACGUAAAGUAAUCUAACCCGUCGAGUGGGGAAUAACCGUCCGGAAACGGACGCUAAUACCGCAUAAUGCAGCGGCAACCGCAAGGUGACAGUUGUUAAAGAUUUAUCGCUUGGGGAGGAGCUUGCGGCAGAUUAGCAGGUU
rnacentral:rRNA from 1 species